rnacentral:rRNA from 1 species
UACGUAGGGUGCAAGCGUUAAUCGGAAUUACUGGGCGUAAAGCGUACGCAGGCGGCUAUGUAAGACAGGUGUGAAAUCCCCGGGCUUAACCUGGGAGCUGCAUUUGUGACUGCAUAGCUAGAGUCUGUCAGAGGGGGGUAGAAUUCCACGUGUAGCAGUGAAAUGCGUAGAGAUGUGGAGGAACACCGAUGGCGAAGGCAGCCCCCCUGGGUCAAGACUGACGCUCAUGCACGAAAGCGUGGGGGAGCAAACAGG